GACGAACGCUGGCGGCGUGCUUAACACAAGCAAGUCGAACGAUGAAGCCGGAGCUUGCUCUGGUGAAUUAGUGGCGAACGGGUGGGUAACACGUGAGCAACGUGCCCUUGGAUCUGGGAUAACUGCGGGAAACUGUAGCUAAUACCGGAUACGACCUCUGAAGGCAGCUUCUGGAGGUGGAAAGAAUUUCGGCCAAGGAUCGGCUCGCGGCCUAUCAGCUAGUUGGUGAGGUAAAGGCUCACCAAGGCGACGACGGGUAGCCGGCCUGAGAGGGUGACCGGCCACACUGGGACUGAGCCACGGCCCAGACUCCUACGGGAAGCAGCAGUGGGGAAUAUUGCACAAUGGGCGCAAGCCUGAUGCAGCAACGCCGCGUGAGGGACGACGGCCUUCGGGUUGUAAACCUCUUUUAGCAGGGAAGAAGCGAAAGUGACGGUACCUGCAGAAAAAGCACCGGCUAACUACGUGCCAGCAGCCGCCGUAA
rnacentral:rRNA from 1 species